rnacentral:lncRNA from 1 species
AUAUCCAAUUGCUGGAAGGCUUGAGAGGGUCUGUAAGACAGAUGUUGAAAUCAAUGGGGUGUUCAUUCCCAAAGGGACUGUGGUGAUGAUACCAACCUUUGCUCUUCACAAAGACCCGCAUUACUGGCCAGAGCCUGAGGAAUUCCGCCCUGAAAGGCACUCAGCGCUAUGAGUUUUCCUCUUAGCACAGCUUUCAUCGUGUCCCAUAAGUUUGGGUUCAGCAAGAAGAAUCAGGAUAACAUCAAUCCUUAUAUGUACCUGCCCUUUGGGAAUGGACCCAGGAACUGUAUUGGCAUGAGGUUUGCUCUCAUGAACAUGAAAGUUGCUCUUGUCAGAGUCCUGCAGAACUUCUCCUUCCAACCUUGUAAGGAAACUCAGAUCCCUUUAAAAUUGAGCAAACAAGGACUUCUUCAACCAGAAAAGCCACUGCUUCUAAAAGUUGUGUCCAGAGAUGAGACUGUGAAUGGAGCUUGAUGUAGAAUGGCCUAUAGUGGUGUUGUAUCACAUGGACCAGAAACCAGUUCAUAUUGUGAAUGAAUCCAGAGAUGAAGAUUGCAGUAAUUUUGUUCACUCCUGGGGAUUUUGGGUGUUCUUUGAGCUUUCUCAGCCUCUGUGCAAGUUGUUUUCUGUGGAACAUAUGGAUCUAAUGACAUAAAUCCAAGAUAAAUAUAUUCAACUCGUGGUUCUUGUGGGAUGGCCUAUGUUACCUUCAUUGUUACCACCAAAUACUCUGAUUUCUGAUGAGAAAAUAAAUAAACAUCAAUUACUAGUUCU